UACGUAGGUGGCAAGCGUUGUCCGGAUUUACUGGGUGUAAAGGGCGUGCAGCCGGAGAGACAAGUCAGAUGUGAAAUCCACGGGCUCAACCCGUGAACUGCAUUUGAAACUGUUUCCCUUGAGUGUCGGAGAGGUAAUCGGAAUUCCUUGUGUAGCGGUGAAAUGCGUAGAUAUAAGGAAGAACACCAGUGGCGAAGGCGAAUUACUGGACGAUAACUGACGGUGAGGCGCGAAAGCGUGGGGAGCAAACAGG
rnacentral:rRNA from 1 species